GCUUACGGCCAUCCCACCCUGUCUGCGCCCGAUCUCGUCCGUUCUCGGAAGCUAAGCAGGGUCAGGCCUGGUUAGUACUUGGCUUGGAGACUUCCUGGGUAUUCUAGGUGCUGUAAGCU
rnacentral:rRNA from 1 species